UCCUAAGAGAUCCUAAAAGAGAUUCUAAAAGAUCCUAAGAGAUUCUAAAAGAGAUCCUAAAAGAGAUUCUAAAAGAGAUUCUAAAAAGAGAUCCUAAGAGAUUCUAAAAAGGGAUCCUAAAAGAGAUCCUAAAAGAGAUGGAGAUCUUAAAAGAGAUCCUAAGAGAUCCUAAAAAGAGAUCCUAAAAGAGAUGAAGAGAUCCUAAAAAGAGAUCCUAAAAAGAGAUCCUAAGAGAUCCUAAAAGAGAUGAGGUGUGUGUAUGAGGACAGAUGUACCAGGUAGUUGCAUCGAUCUGAGUUACCUACUACUCAGAGAAAAACUUCCAAAACACAGCAGAUCACAGAUGAGAUAUCACACAAAACACUAGCGAACACAACAUAAUCAGCAUGCCUCAUCCAUCCCCGUCCCCUUAAUCCCCUGAGCUUCUUCAUCUCAUGACAGGGAAAUCACCCAAGAAACAGAAAAUUGGAUGAAAUACCCAAUAUAGAGACUUUUCAGACAGGAAAAACGUCUCCAAAAUUCUUGCCAUACUACCUGAAGAACUUUUGGUAGAACUGAGCUGCUAUAAAGUUCACUAGUCCCCAUUUUGUCUGCAGGGUAAAGGCUGAGUAUCUGUUUUCCGAAUGUUUAUGUUACAUCAGAUAACUGACGGUAGACGGAAGGCCUACAAGCCAAAGUGAAGAGUUUUGAGCCAUUUUAAAAACUCUAAUCCCAGAGACAGAGUCUUCCUCUGCCACCCAGGCUGAACUACAGUGCUGCAAUCAGAGCCUACUACAACCUCCAGCUCCUGGACUAAAGUGAUCUUCCUGCCUCAGCCUCCUGAGUAGCUACGACUACAGAUUAUUAAGAGCCAACAGACAAACUGAAUCUUGGCAUUUGAAUUGACGGCAGGAGAGAAAUAUUUCCCUAAAUGUUUGAAUGUUAAAUUGUAAG